UACGAGGGGUGCAAGCGUUAUUCGGAAUCAUUUGGGCGUAAAGGGUGUGUAGGCGAUAAGUCAAGUCUAUUGUUAAAUAUCCCGGCUUAACCGGGAAAGUGCAAUGGAUACUGAUUUGAUAGAGGAUGGAAGACAGAAGUGGAAUUCUCGGAGUAGCGGUAAAAUGCGUAGAUCUCGAGAGGAACACCGAUGGCGAAGGCAGCUUCUUGGUCCAUAUCUGACGUUCAUGCACGAAAGCGUGGGGAGCAAACAGG
rnacentral:rRNA from 1 species